GAAAAAAAAAACCGCCAGCGAUCCGUUAAACAAAGGAUGCGAAUUGUCGAUCGGGAGAUGAUUGUUCGCAGCGCGAGAUAAAGCGCGAAAGCAACGCCAGAGAUUGCCGUGCACCGUUAAAUAUAACGCAGUAUCAUUGUAAAUGAGAUUAGUCCUCUUGGCAAAUAUACGGUGCCUUCGCCUACUUGGCAAAUAUAAUAAAUGACGGCAUUAUUUAUGGAGUUCUCCGUUCUGACAGCUGGAAUUAAUCACUUGGAUCGCGUUAUACGUAUAUAUAUACCACGUAAUCAUUGGAAUAUGCAGAGAUCUGGUAUAACAUGUUUGGACUACGAGAGCCGGCACUUUGGUAUUCAAGCAGCGUAAAGUAUCCCAUCAACUCUUUCGCGCGUCUUUAUUUGUCGAACUUUAUUUAAAAAAGAUAAAUCGUCAUCCCGGAAAAAUCUGGCAAGCAAUCAAUUGCGUUCAUUAAUAAAAUGUGUACUUACAGAAGCACGUAAUGCGUGUUUCUUGGUGAUAUCGAUGUGAGAAUUGUUUACCAGAUAAGAGCAGCGCGACAAUAUGAUACUGCAGUACUUCUGAAUAAUCUGAUAGAGCACACCGGUAUUUCGCUAAGACGCACUAACGUGCUCUUUGAAAGGAAGGGUUUUUCCCCGAUUCUCCGCCUUUCACGCAUCGACCUUUCGCGAGCAAACUGGUUUCAGCGAUUAUAAAAACCACAUUCACUGUAAAUCACGUGUAUCACAUAUAUACUUUUAUCACAAUGGAGUGAUGUUUACAUUUCAUUCUUUUCUAAAGCAGCAUAGACUCACGUUUCUUUUCAAACAAUUCCGCCCAGAAUUGAUAGCGCUCUCAAAUAUAUGUUUCUCAGUCUUAAAACUUUGUAUUAAUAGAUCGGAAUUUAUAUAUAUAAAUAUAUAUAUGCGAAAACUUUGGACUGGUUGGUGACGAAACCAAACUAUUGAAAAAUCAAAACAAGUUAUGCAAUUUGUAUGCUAUAAAAGUUACGUGGCUACUUGCGUGACAAAAUGCUGACAAAAUCUUGUAACAAAUGCGUGACCAAUUCUUUGAAAGUCAGGAUUGGAUUUUGUCACACAUAAGUUAUGUACAUAAAAUAUACGUAGUAUGUUUUUUUUUUUUUGUAAAUAGAGAAUAUAUUUUCGAAAUAUUCAAACUUUUAAUUCUCUACUAAGGAUAUUUGCUACAACAAUAAUUAAUUUGAUAAUUUAAAAAUGUUAUCUAUCAAGAUAUGUGUGUGAUAUACUUAGAGAUUAUUAUAUAAACGUCAUAGAAAUCUUAAUAAAAAUGUCACAUGUACUUAUAUUAACAUUCAAAGAAAAGUCAAAAUGUGAAAGGAUUUUUUUAAAUUCCUAAGUCAAUAUUCCUUUAUUUUUUGAUUUUGCAAAAUCAAAAUAAUAAAAAAGAAAUGCAUUUGUUGUAGAGAAUUAAAUACCAUGAUCUUCAGUUUUGCUAUACGUGUAUUAAAUGUUUUAAUGUUGCUUUGUGAGCCGACUAAAAAGAUAUAAUAUCACGUAACUUAUGUAAUUUCUAUGAUAUUUUUUAUAUAAUGUUUAAGUACCCUACCCAUAUAAUUAUCGUUAUUAUCGCUGAUCUGAUGUAUCUUUAUUGUUACUUGAUUAGUAUGAAAUAAAAGGAAUUAUAGAAGUGUAUAUAAUUAUUAGAUAUAAUCUGCGUCGUGUAUGUGUAUUGUACAUGUGACAAAUAAAAUUAUUAAGUGUUUCUCUCGCAUAUUGUAGAUGAUUGCAUGCGCAAUUUUUCAUUGCUACUGUUGAAAAGUAAACACGGAAAUUGAUGUAUCUGUCAUCGCAAAAAAUAAACAGUAUUUUUUAUACUUGAA
rnacentral:lncRNA from 1 species